rnacentral:misc_RNA from 1 species
CCAGUCUUGAGGUGUAGGAGAAGGCCAUCAGGCUGUUUAAUUCAAGAAAUGCCAAAUGGCUACUCAAAGGUAAUCUGGGUUGAGCAUGUUGAAAUAGAUGAUAGGUCUGUCCACAACAUAUACAAACAACUUGUUAACUCAGGUCUAGCAUUUGGUGCCAAACGGUGGGUUGCGACUUUGGACCGCCAAUGUGAGCGCCUUGCCAGUGUGAUGGCAAGCAGCAUUCCCUCAGGUGAUAUAGGUGUGAUAACAAAUACAGAUGGAAGAAAAAGCAUGCUGAAGCUAGCUGAGAGGAUGGCGAUGAGCUUCUGCGGUGGAGUGACGGCCUCGACAACGCAUCAGUGGACUACUCUAUCUGGAAGUGGGGCUGAAGAUGUGAGGGUUAUGACGAGGAAGAGCAUAGAUGAUCCCGGUAGGCCUCCUGGAAUUGUUCUCAAUGCGGCUACUUCAUUCUGGCUGCCGGUUUCCCCAAAGAGAGUCUUUGAUUUCCUCCGAGAUGAGAGCUCAAGAAGCGAGUGGGAUAUCCUCUCUAAUGGGGGAGUUGUUCAGGAGAUGGCUCACAUAGCAAAUGGCCGAGAUCAUGGCAACUGUGUUUCUCUUCUCCGUGUGAAUAGCACGAACUCGAACCAAAGCAACAUGCUGAUACUGCAAGAGACCUGCACGGACUCUACUGGGUCCUAUGUGAUCUAUGCUCCCGUGGAUGUUGUUGCUAUGAAUGUGGUGCUGAAUGGCGGUGACCCAGACUAUGUCGCGCUCUUGCCCUCAGGUUUUGCCAUACUCCCUGACGGACCGUCUGCCUUACAGCAAGGUGGUAGCAGU